rnacentral:rRNA from 1 species
CCACGGGUGAGUAACACGUAUCCAACCUGCCGUCUACUCUUGGACAGCCUUCUGAAAGGAAGAUUAAUACAAGAUGGCAUCAUGAGUCCGCAUGUUCACAUGAUUAAAGGUAUUCCGGUAGACGAUGGGGAUGCGUUCCAUUAGAUAGUAGGCGGGGUAACGGCCCACCAAGGCGACGAUGGAUAGGGGUUCUGAGAGGAAGGUCCCCCACAUUGGAACUGAGACACGGUCCAA